GAAAAAUUUAUUUUGUAACCAUCAUCAGCUUAUCGUUAAGGUUAGCUGUAAAACCGGAGAAGAAACCAGUAUCGAAAAAGACGAAAAAGAGCACUGCUAUUUGUUAUACAGACAAAAUAUUAGAUUUAAUAACAGAUCCAACUAUACCAACCGAUGCAGAGAACACCUUGAAUAUAAAAAAGGAUGAUUGUUCAUUAACGGUUAAGACACCUGUAGACAAUACGGCUGUAGAUUACUGGACUAUAGCACAUUAUAAAUGUGCUAAAAUUGAUAAAGUUGCUCUGCAAGAUAGAUGGAAGCAUGCUGAAUGCUCACUCAAAUAU